CCUGCAGUGCAGAAUCUGUGCCCGGAGGCUGGGCGAUGUGGGCAGGGGCCUGAUCCCCGCCAGCUCUCACUCCUGCCUCAAGGGAGCGAGUCGCUUCCAAGCCCCAGUGCCCAAGGCCAAGCGCAGAGGGGUGAGAGGUGGGCGUUGAGACAAGGAUUUCUGCGGGAGAGAAAGGCUGAGGGAAGGCGGAAGUGCAGGCCGCGCCAGCUGCAUCCCAUCUGCCCUGGGCAGCCGGCCAGGCAAGGCCUCACAGAGGAGCUGGUCAGAGGCUUCCGUCUUUCUGUCUGCACCCAUUGGGAGCCAGCUCUGCCCUGGUGCCAUCCAGGAACCCUGAGGACUGAUCUCUCCAACCUUGGUGGUAGGGACUCGAAUCUCCCCAGGCUCCAUGUGUCUUGGGGGCUGGUGCCCACUGGGCAGCGCUGCCACCUGGAGAGUUCCAGGCCCUGCAGUAGGAAUGCAGGGGAGAUGCAGGGCUCCUGGGUGGGCAUCGGGGCACCCAGGCCCCUCACGGACUCCAGCGGCCACCCCAGCCUCUGCCCUCCUCCCUCCUCUAGUACCUUCCCUUCCACGAGGAGGUUCUUCCCCACUCAAAACUCUGAUCUUCCUUGUACCCAAGGAUUCUGGAGGGUUCAGCCUCUUUCUCGCUUUGUGUCCCGCAUUCGAGGGCAGGCAAGAGGCUUGAAAGGAAAACUAAAUAUGGCAAAACCAUGGCUGGAGAUUUUGGGAAGCUGGAAAGCAGGGAGACGAGAGGGUGAGCCGCUGGGGCGCCAGUGUACCAUUUAUUUGCUGUGUGGCCACGGGCCAGUGCCUUCCUCGCUCUGAGCGUUUCCUCAUCUGUAAAUUAAGCCUAAAAUGCAGGCCUCCUAGACUUGCUUUGAGGAGUCCAGAAGCACUGGGUGUGAAUGCAUGCGACACCCAGGAAGCAGACAUACCUCACUCAGCCUCCUAUUUGAUGCUAUUACUGAUGGCGGCUUCUGGCCCUCAGGCUGGAGACCAGAUGAGGGGUGAGAUGACAUUUCAGCCCCUGGAGACUAGGGCCCAGGGUCCUUCCGGUUGUAGAUAAGAUCCAGAGCUGUGCUAGGCCUUGGGUCCUAUCGAAAUUCCCACGGGAAUCCCUGGCGGAAGAGCCGUCCCGGGCCCAAGCUUAUCUGCACUCCCGCGCGUCUGGGAAGUGGGGUCAAGUGCAGUUGUCUGGGUUGGUUUCCAGCAGGGAGGCCAAAGGCCGUGGACGUAGUCUGGACUCAGUCAUGCUGCCUGCCGGUCUGGGGAGGACGCCCGGGGGCCCGGAGGGGGAUCACUCAUUCCCAGCCCUACCCGUCUCGAGGGGGGCGGCCGCUCUUCUGGAAGACCCCUGAGAGCAGGCUGCAAACGUCAGGGCAGGAGGCGGCCCAGUGCCUUCUGCGCCAGCCCUUCCAGUGUCACCCGCUGUGCUUGCCCAAGGACCACCAUCCCGGAGGAGGGAGGAGUUGCGGCCCUGAGCUGCGGACACUCUAGUCUGAAGGGGACAGAGUCCUUGCCAGGGAGCCGCCCCUACUCUGCGGAGGGAGUAGUCUUCUGGAACCUGGAGAGAGCGUCUAUACAUCCUGUCCUCUCCCCUCCCCUCCCUUUCCUCUUCUCUCUUCUCCUCUGCUCCUUUCUUCUCUGCUCCAUCACAGCCAAGCCCAUGGCCUUGGAGACCCCGGGGUGCAACGGGAUCCCCAAAUAGGAGUGUUUUGCACCUGGGGUUCCCAUUACACAUUGUAGGCUGGGAGGUGGGCUUCGGAAGUGGAAGGCAGCUCGGACGUUAACUCCAGCUGGGGGAACUGAGGCCCACCAGCACACUGCAUGCUCCAGGGCUGGGGGUGGUGCAGAGAGGGGCUACAGAGCGGGUCCCCGGGGAGAGGGCGGUGGGCAGGCGGCAGGUGGCAGGGUUCUCCCUGGGUCAUGACAGGGCCCCUCCAGGCCCACUUCUCAGCCCUGCCCCCACGCCCUGGGGGGGGGCCAGGUUCGCGGGCAGCCCAGCGGGUGCCCAGGAGGGGGGCUGGGGCUCGGAGGAAGUGCUGAGUCGGCACUCAGAGCCUCCGCCGCCUCUCCUGCUCCAUUACUCAUCCCGAAGGGGCCGCCCUCCCUCUGCCCACCCAGGCCCGGCUCAGAAAUGCCCCCACCUCCCCUCCCCGGCGCUCCCCCCUCAGCUGGAAACUCUUAAGCAAAAAGGUCGUCAAGAUGAUUAAAUGCGAACAGAUUUUCAGCUCUUUUUCCA
rnacentral:lncRNA from 1 species